rnacentral:rRNA from 1 species
CAGCUUGUUGGUGGGGUAACGGCCUACCAAGGCGACGACGGGUAGCCGGCCUGAGAGGGCGACCGGCCACACUGGGACUGAGACACGGCCCAGACUCCUACGGGAGGCAGCAGUGGGGAAUAUUGCGCAAUGGGCGAAAGCCUGACGCAGCGACGCCGCGUGGGGGAUGAAGGCCUUCGGGUUGUAAACCCCUUUCAGCAGGGACGAAGCGAAAGUGACGGUACCUGCAGAAGAAGCGCCGGCUAACUACGUGCCAGCAGCCGCGGUAACACGUAGGGCGCAAGCGUUGUCCGGAAUUAUUGGGCGUAAAGAGCUCGUAGGCGGUCUGUUGCGUCCGCUGUGAAAACUCGGGGCUUAACCCCGAGCCUGCAGUGGAUACGGGCAGACUAGAGGUAGGUAGGGGAGAAUGGAAUUCCCGGUGUAGCGGUGAAAUGCGCAGAUAUCGGGAGGAACACCGGUGGCGAAGGCGGUUCUCUGGGCCUUACCUGACGCUGAGGAGCGAAAGCGUGGGGAGCGAACAGGAUUAGAUACCCUGGUAGUCCACGCCGUAAACGUUGGGCGCUAGGUGUGGGAUCCUUCCACGGAUUCCGUGCCGCAGCU